rnacentral:rRNA from 1 species
UACGUAGGGGGGCUAGCGUUGUCCGGAAUCAUUGGGGCGUAAAGCGCGUGUAGGCGGUCCGGUAAGUCCGCUGUGAAAGUCGGGGGCUCAACCCUCGGAUGCCGGUGGAUACUGUCGGGCUUGAGUACGGAAGAGGCGAGUGGAAUUCCUGGUGUAGCGGUGAAAUGCGCAGAUAUCAGGAGGAACACCAAUUGCGAAGGCAGCUCGCUGGGACGUUACUGACGCUGAGACGCGAAAGCGUGGGGGAGCAACAGG